AUUGAACGCUGGCGGCAGGCCUCACACAUGCAAGUCGAACGAGUGGCGGACGGGUGAGUACUGCAUGGGAAUCUAACUGAUGGAGGGGGAUAACUACGGGAAACUGUAGCUAAUACCGCGUACCAUGGGAUGAACCCACAUUGGAUUAGGUAGUUGGUGAGGUAAAGGCUCACCAAGCUGACGAUCUCUAGCUGGUAUGAGAGGAUGACCAGCCACACUGGGAAUGAGACACGGCCCAGACGCCUACGGGAGGCAGCAGUGGGGAAUAUUGCGCAAUGGGGGAAACCCUGACGCAGCCAUGCCGCGUGAAUGAAGAAGGCCUUCGGGUUGUAAAGGACGUUAAGUAGCAAGGCGUUAACUACAGAAGAAGCACCGGCUAACUACGUGCCAGCAGCCGCGGUAAUAC
rnacentral:rRNA from 1 species